UACGUAGGGUGCGAGCGUUAAUCGGAAUUACUGGGCGUAAAGCGUGCGCAGGCGGUUUUGUAAGCCAGAUGUGAAAUCCCCGGGCUUAACCUGGGAAUGGCAUUUGGGACUGCAAGGCUGGAGUGCGGCAGAGGGAGGUGGAAUUCCACGUGUAGCAGUGAAAUGCGUAGAGAUGUGGAGGAACACCGAUGGCGAAGGCAGCCUCCUGGGCCAGCACUGACGCUCAUGCACGAAAGCGUGGGGAGCAAACAGG
rnacentral:rRNA from 1 species